GUGCUCACUUGCCACUACAACACCCAAGAGGAGAAGCAGUUACCUCAGCCUGGGGACAACAGAGAAGGCUUCUGGAGAAGGGACUGCAUGCACUGAUUCUCAAAGGACAAGGAAGAGUGAAAGUUGAUCAUGCCUGAAGGUUGAUGGGAAGCAGCCAGUAAGUAGAGAAGGAGUUGUUGAAGACACAGAUGAGAGGAGGGAUAACUGAUGAAGUAAGUCCUCAUGGAGGUGAGAAA
rnacentral:lncRNA from 10 species